rnacentral:rRNA from 1 species
UGCCAAACAGCUAAUCCGAAACCCAAAAAACAACAAACCCUUAUAAAUAACCCCAAAACCCCUAAUAAAACACCAAACAAACCAUUUUCCCCCCUUAGUAUAGGUGAUAGAAAAGGACAUUAGGAAUGACAGAAAAAGUACCGCAAGGGAACGCUGAAAGAGAAAUGAAACAACCCAGUUAAGCCAAUAAAAGCAGAGAUUCCACCUCGU